CGUGCAGGCGGGAAGGUAAGUCUGAUGUGAAAGCCCCGGGCUCAACCCGGGAAGUGCAUUGGAAACUGCUUUUCUUGAGUACUGGAGAGGAAGGGGGAAUUCCCGGUGUAGAGGUGAAAUUCGUAGAGAUCGGGAGGAAUACCAGUGGCGAAGGCGCCCUUCUGGACGGUUACUGACGCUGAGACGCGAAAGCGUGGGGAGCAAACA
rnacentral:rRNA from 1 species